UGGGGAAUAUUGCACAAUGGAGGGAACUCUGAUGCAGCAACGCCGCGUGCGGGAUGACGGCCUUCGGGUUGUAAACCGCUUUCAGCCAUGACGAAGCUUUUGUGACGGUAGCGGUAGAAGAAGCACCGGCUAACUACGUGCCAGCAGCCGCGGUGAUACGUAGGGUGCGAGCGUUUUCCGGAAUUAUUUGGCGUAAAGAGCUUGUAGGCGGUUUGUCGCGUCGAUAGUGUAAACACGCAGCUUAACUGUGUGCCUGCUGUCGAUACGGGCUGACUAGAGGAGGGUAGGGGAGAAUGGAAUUCCCGGUGGAGCGGUGGAAUGCGAAGAUAUCGGGAGGAAGACCAGUGGCGAAGGCGGUUCUCUGGACCUUUCCUGACGCUGAGAAGCGAAAGCGUGGGUAGCAAACAGG
rnacentral:rRNA from 1 species